rnacentral:rRNA from 1 species
UACGAAGGGGGCUAGCGUUGCUCGGAAUUACUGGGCGUAAAGCGCACGUAGGCGGCUUCUUAAGUCGGUGGUGAAAUCCUGGAGCUCAACUCCAGAACUGCCUUCGAUACUGGGAGCUCGAGUCCGGGAGAGGUGAGUGGAAUUCCGAGUGUAGAGGUGAAAUUCGAUAGAUAUUCGGAAGAACACCAGUGGCGAAGGCGGCUCACUGGUCCGGUACUGACGCUGAGACGCGAAAGCGUGGGAGCGAACAGG